rnacentral:rRNA from 1 species
CAGUCGCCGCGGGAAUACGUAGGGUGCGAGCGUUAAUCGGAAUUACUGGGCGUAAAGCGCGCGUAGGUGGUUUGUUAAGUUGGAUGUGAAAGCCCCGGGCUCAACCUGGGAACUGCAUCCAAAACUGGCAAGCUAGAGUACGGUAGAGGGUGGUGGAAUUUCCUGUGUAGCGGUGAAAUGCGUAGAUAUAGGAAGGAACACCAGUGGCGAAGGCGACCACCUGGACUGAUACUGACACUGAGGUGCGAAAGCGUGGGGAGCAAACAGGAUUAGAUACCCCUGUAGUCCCUGUCUCUUAUAC